rnacentral:tRNA from 1 species
GAGGGUGUAGCUCAGUGGUAGAUUGCAUGCUUAGCAGGCAUGAGGUCCUGGGUUCAAUCCCCAGUAUCUCCA